UAGUCCACGCCGUAAACGUUGGGCACUAGGUGUGGGGAGGCGUCAACCCUUUCCGUGCCGUAGCUAACGCAUUAAGUGCCCCGCCUGGGGAGUACGGCCGCAAGGCUAAAACUCAAAGGAAUUGACGGGGCCCGCACAAGCGGCGGAGCAUGUUGCUUAAUUCGAUGCAACGCGAAGAACCUUACCUGGGCUUGACAUGCAGGGAAAAGCCGCAGAGAUGCGGUGUCCUACGGGGGCCCUGCGCAGGUGGUGCAUGGCUGUCGUCAGCUCGUGUCGUGAGAUGUUGGGUUAAG
rnacentral:rRNA from 1 species